rnacentral:rRNA from 1 species
GCGGACAGAUGGGAGCUUGCUCCCUGAAGUCAGCGGCGGACGGGUGAGUAACACGUGGGCAACCUGCCUGUAAGACUGGGAUAACUUCGGGAAACCGGAGCUAAUACCGGAUAACACCGAGGACCUCAUGGUCCUUGGUUGAAAGAUGGCUUCGGCUAUCACUUACAGAUGGGCCCGCGGCGCAUUAGCUAGUUGGUGAGGUAACGGCUCACCAAGGCGACGAUGCGUAGCCGACCUGAGAGGGUGAUCGGCCACACUGGGACUGAGACACGGCCCAGACUCCUACGGGAGGCAGCAGUAGGGAAUCUUCCGCAAUGGACGAAAGUCUGACGGAGCAACGCCGCGUGAGCGAUGAAGGCCUUCGGGUCGUAAAGCUCUGUUGUUAGGGAAGAACAAGUACCGUUCGAAUAGGGCGGUACCUUGACGGUACCUAACCAGAAAGCCACGG